CAGAUUGGGUAUAUUUGGUCUUUACAUCCAGUUGACGCAUAUGUCUAUAGUAGCAGUCAUUGCAUGCAUACUUACAGUUCUUGCUUUAUAGUUGUCUUGCUACUACAGUAGAUAUUCAUGUAUGCUUUCUGUUCCAGUUACAGUAGGGUAGCCGUUAUUCAGUCUAGUUCCUACUUUCUUUCAGUUUAUUGCUACUGUAUUCAGAAUAUCUGCUCAUUACCUUAUACAUCUCUUUCGUUUAUUAUUGUUCCUACUAUAUUUCCACUGACCGGUGUUGUUGUAUAGCUCUUCCUGAUCCGGUGAGUACUCCUCGCCUUCUUCGGCUUGCGGUACCCACUGGGAGGGGAGACAUGUUUACAUGUUCUCACCUCCCCCACUAUUUUUCAGGUAUCGCGGGCGGUGAGGGUUGAGACUGGACGUGAGAUACGUAGCGGUCGAUAGAGCUUCCGACCCAGGUUAUUCGGUUUAGUU
rnacentral:lncRNA from 1 species